AACCCUUUCUCUUUCUUCCUCCACCAAAUUUUUUCUUCUUUCUCUCUCUUCCUCUGUUCUUCUUUUUCACACAUAUGUACCACCUUCUUUUUCUUCUUCUCUUCUAAAGACAAACACAUCUUCAUCUAUUUUUAUAAAUGCAUCUUCGUUACUUUCACAACUAAGAGAGACAAAAGAUAAACACCAAAAAUAAGUUGAAAACAGAAAAAUAGAAAGAUGGAAUCAGAAUCUACCGGCGGCUGAAUGUGAUAACGUGGUUUCCGACGAAGGUUAAGAAGGAACAAGAUGAAGACAACAUUAGGUGGAAAAUUUGUCUCUAGGAUCCAGAAGUUAGCUGCAGGAAAGAUAUGAUUUCAAUCUUUAUUUUAUGUCUGGGUUACAAUAAAUUUCUCUUUUUGGGUCUAUUAUUUUUAUGAAUUCACAUAUAAUACAAAUUUGGGAAAAGUAUUUUAAAAUAUGUGUUUGUAUAUUGAAAUCAGAGUGGUAUAUUGAAACAGGUGUAGUGAAUAUUUGUAGACAACUAUUAGAUGUUACUUUCAUUUUAUCUAAUCCUCAUGUUUGAGCAUAAUUGAGCUUUUCUGUCUCGGUGGGUAGAGGGAGCAAAAGGGCAGUUAAUAUGUUUAAACCCCCAAUAUUUGGGAUUAGGUUUGAUGAUUUUGUGGGUAUCACUAAAACUAUGAAGGAUUGUCAAAGAUAAAGAUUUUACUCAAAGAUAACAUAUUUUGUUUUGUAUGCAGAAGAUUUCCUGUUUGGCUAAAGUAUGUACUAGGUGUUUCCUUCAGAACAGACACCGAGUUGUUCAAGAUUUAGUGAUUUUCAAUUUUGAAAUUUCAUUAAUUUAAUUCUAAUGAUUUGUUUGUGAUUUUCAAUUUUGAAAUUUCAUUAAUUUAAUUCUAAUGAUUUGUUUGGUUGAUUAUGGAUAUUUAAUUAUAUUUUAUAAAAAGUUUGUUUGGCUAUCUACAAAGUUUAAUGAGACGUUUCCGUUGGACACUGCAGCAAUGUUGGUAUCCUCAAAGCAUUUAACAUGGUAUGGAUAAAACAAAGGCAGUAGGCAAAAUUGUUCUAUGCUUUUCAGUAUCGAAUCAACAAGAUAUUGCUUCUGCAGCACUUCCAAUGAAGGAAGCUGGUGGAGUUGGACUAAUUUACGCACAUUGCAUGAAGACAGACUCGGCGAAUGUGAUAUACUUCCAUGUAUUAAAAAUAUAAUAUUGAAACGAAGAAAGAACAUGUCUUUCAAAGCUUUCUACAUGAAGAACUAUCAUGGUUCCGCAAAGCUCAGCUUCUAUAUGCCCUAAACAAUUUUAUACUGAACAACAUCCCAUAAAAUGGACACAAAAUGGCAUUUCAACAAUUUGUUGGAUUUAAUGACAUUGGAUUCUAUAAAGAGGAUACUUUUGUUGCAGCAGGUAAGUAACAUUUUAUGGAUACAACAGCAGUUACCUUUUCACUUUAAUAUAUAAAUGUUGGUGUAGUAUCAUCCUGAUGUAGUGCAGAUUUGACAACUUAUGUCGGCAUUGUUAGCUGGAGUUACGGUUUUGAAGUGCGGGGCCUUUGAAUUGUGCAGUGGGCUGUUGGUUGUGAGAUGUUUGGUAAGAAUACAGGGUUGGGUUCAUGGUUUUGCUAUUGGUUUGAGCUGAAUUGUAUGUGAUGGCAUUUGGUUUGUGAUUCUUGAAUUUUGGCUUAUGCAGGCUUAUGAUUGGGUUGCAGGUAGUUGAACCCAAGUUGGUGCGGAAAUGCCAGGAAUUGGUGGAAAAUGUGUAUGUAUGGACUUAGUCAUGGAGUAAAAGGAGGCUUUCCCUUAGUUUUUGCUUAUUGGUGAACUACCUGAAUAGGUUCUUAUCGGCUUAUCAAUUACCAGUAAAAUAGAAUAUUAAUAAGUUUGUUUCAGAUGAUUUACAUGGUUUUUGUAUGAUAAUAUUUCUGAAACAUUUGAUCAAAGAGGUUGAGUUAUCAGAUUAGGUGGAUUUUUCGAGUUCAGAGUUUGCAUUCAGUAUAAAUAGAGCUUAAUAAUAUUUUGUGGGUAGGAUAUAAAUAUGUCAUUGAUUAUUUAGAUGUGUUGGUCUGGUGUAGGAAUAUAACA